GACGUAGGGGGCCAGCGUUGUUCGGAAUUACUGGGUGUAAAGGGUUCGUAGGCGGUGUGGCAAGUCGGGAGUGAAAUCUCUGGGCUCAACUCAGAGACUGCUUCCGAAACUGCUGUGCUGGAGUGUGGGAGAGGCGCGUGGAAUUGCAGGUGUAGCGGUGAAAUGCGUAGAUAUCGGGAGGAACACCUGUGGCGAAAGCGGCGCACUGGACCAUAACUGACGCUGAUGCGCGAAAGCUAGGGGAGCAAACAGG
rnacentral:rRNA from 1 species